UAAGAAAUCUGCCUAUCAGAGGGGAAUAACAGUGAGAAAUCAUUGCUAAUACCGCAUAUGCCAUAGGAAUCGCAUGAUUCUAGUGGGAAAGGAGUAAUCCGCUGAUAGAUGAGCUUGCGUCUGAUUAGCUAGUUGGUGAGGUAACGGCUCACCAAGGCGACGAUACAUAGGGGGACUGAGAGGUCAACCCCCCACAUUGGUACUGAGACACGGCCCAAACUCCUACGGGAGGCAGCAG
rnacentral:rRNA from 1 species